GACGAACGCUGGCGGCGUGCUUAACACAUGCAGGUCGAACGGAAAGGCCCUGCUUUUGUGGGGUGCUCGAGUGGCGAACGGGUGAGUAACACGUGAGUAACCUGCCCUUGACUUUGGGAUAACUUCAGGAAACUGGGGCUAAUACCGGAUAGGAGCUCCUGCUGCAUGGUGGGGGUUGGAAAGUUUCGGCGGUUGGGGAUGGACUCGCGGCUUAUCAGCUUGUUGGUGGGGUAGUGGCUUACCAAGGCUUUGACGGGUAGCCGGCCUGAGAGGGUGACCGGCCACAUGGGGACGGGGAGACGGCCCAGACUCCUACGGGAGGCAGCAGUGGGGAAUAUUGCACAAGGGGCGGAAGCCUGAGGCAGCAACGCCGCGUGCGGGAGGACGGCCUUCGGGUGGUAAACCGCUUUCGCCUGUGACGAAGCGUGAGUGACGGUAAUGGGGAAAGAAGCACCGGCGAACUACGU
rnacentral:rRNA from 1 species